rnacentral:lncRNA from 13 species
ACGCAAAUGUCAAACAUGAAGUAUAUUCAAGAAAAACGGAGACUACGGAUAUUCAAUUCAUUUCUAAAAAUAGCAGCGCGUAUAGGAGGAUAUUUUCCUCAUCAUCGAUGUGUGAUCACAUUAUAUCGGACGUUAUAUACACAUUCGUGUCGCGCUAUAUGGGCACAAGUGCGGGGGAAGAGGUCAGGCAGAGUUUCUCUAAUAAGGCACAUGGAGCUAGAGGCAUGAUUCACGCGUGAAGAUACAUAUAUCCGCAGUGACCAUAUCUGCGUAGUUACGCGAUGAUCAUCUGAAACGCGAUCUACGGUAAUGCACAGGAUAAACUGCUCGUGGUUAUCAUCGUAACAAUCGCGAGGAAGAGCCGACGAACCCGGAGAGGAAAGGAAAUUACAUUCAUUCUACGUGUCCACAAUGGCACGUCUGUACGAUGUCAAGAAAGACGCAUAUGUUUUCACGAGGAUCUGCUCGCUUAUGCGAAACAAGCAAAAUUACACCAAUAUGCGAAGCUAGCGUAGAGAUAACGCCUGCCGGUGUGCGUCGACGAGAAAUCUCAGUGACCUACAUUCGCCGGUCGUAUGCAGUUACUAAACGGCCACCGGUUGCAGCCUACGACGGACACGUCCAUCCGUUAUCGUCAUCAUUGACUAAUUAAUUCAAAUAGCACAUGACCGAGCGAGGAAGAAAGAUAUUGCGUGCCUCGCGGGAUUAUGCAAUUUACUUCGAAGCCUUCAUCUAUAAGAAAAAUUCAUAAUUUAUAUCUUGUCCCCUCCGUUUUAUCCUUUCCUUUACUUUGUAGAUAACUUCGUAUAAAAUAAAUCAUUUUUAUAAUGUA